CCUACGGGUGGCAGCAGUGGGGAAUAUUGCACAAUGGGGGAAACCCUGAUGCAGCGACGCCGCGUGAGCGAUGAAGUAGUUCGGUAUGUAAAGCUCUAUCAGCAGGGAAGAAAAUGAAGGUACGUGACCAAGAAGCCGCGGCUAACUACGUGACAGCAGCCGCGGUAAUAAGUAGGGGGCAAGCGUUAUCCGGAUUUACUGGGUGUAAAGGGAGCGUAGACGGCUGUGCAAGCCAGAUGUGAAAGCCCGGGGCUCAACCCCGGGACUGCAUUUGGAACUGGGUGGCUGGAGUGUCGGAGAGGCAGGCGGAAUUCCUAGUGUAGCGGUGAAAUGCGUAGAUAUUAGGAGGAACACCAGUUGCGAAGGCGGCCUGCUGGACGAUGACUGACGUUGAGGCUCGAAAGCGUGGGGAGCAAACAGGAUUAGAUACCCCGGUAGUC
rnacentral:rRNA from 1 species